ACCCACUUGUCUGCUGAUGCGUGUGGCUCAGUUCCCUCCCUGUUGGUUGUUUGGCCUGAGACAACCCAACACUGGAGCCUACCCAGAUCUUUGGUGGGGCUAAUGGCGGACUCCAGGAGGGCCCAUGCCAAGGAGUACUUCCCAGAACUUCUGCUGCCAGUGUCCUUGUCCCCAGGGUGAGCCACAGCCACCCCUGCCUCUUCAGGAGACCCUCCAACACUAGCAGGAAAAGGAGAACUUUAGACACAAAAGGGGAGAACAACGUUUGCCAGGCGAGAAGGCAGAGCAUUUCAGGAGGAGCUGCCUGAGACUCCUUCACAGACAUGCUACAGGGAGCCAACACCAAGCAUUGGAACAAGUGCAGGAUACAACCUACUUUCCGUCCUCCACCAGACAGUUGGGUAAGGCCUUUCUACCCUGACAUUAUGUGAUUCUAAAUCACUUUCUGUAGGCUUGCUCAGACUUCCUAUUAAACUUGUCAUAAGGGAGAAACUGAUGAUUCCGUGAAGUCAAGAAACAGCCCAUGGUAGCUCUACACAAAUGCGAGUGUUGUGAAUACUAGCAUUUCUGUGAGUCCUCCCGACAAAGCUAUCACACAGUCAGGGCUUUCAAGCUGCUGAGGGAACUCCCUGCUGAGCUUGGUCCAAGAUGGUCCCUGGGGAUGGAUUAGGGCAGACAGGGAGAAGGAAUUUGAAAGGUUUUUUUUCUGGAAUAUAAACUUCUAUUUCUAUGCCAGGAUUAAUUCCAUUCCAUACAAGAAUGGCUAGGGCAGUGUUGCUAGGAAAUUAGCAGCUGUUUGUCUGGAUGAUUUUGGACAGGAAUGUGUCACUUGUGCAAUGCAAACAGGGAAGGGCUUUGAAGUGUGAGAAACUGGUCUCUGUCCAGUGCUGUUUAAGGAAACACAGCGCAGGACAUUUUAGACAGAGCCAAGGUGGAGAAUCUUUCCCAAUGUGAUCUAAUUCCCUGGGGCAAUGAGCACUGCCCCAGAGUCUCCUUCCAUGUGCCCAUCUGGUCGGUACUCAUCCUCACAACUGCUGCCUAGCUUUCGAUCCUGAGCCUGUCUGCUGGGCGCCUGGGGCCAGAGUGACCACUGAGCUGGAAGAUGACGCCUCUUUAGAAAUGAGCCCUGGAAGGCUAACUCACCCCCAAAGAAUCCAGCCUUUGGAACUGUAAAGUGGAGCCCUCAAGAAUACCCCGACCCUCCGAUGAUUCCACUAUCUAGAGUUUAAAGACAGGCAAAGCUAAUCUAUUUUAUUAGAGAUCAGAAUAGUACUGACCUUUAGGGAAGAGGGAAGGAGGAGUGAUUGAGAAGUAUCUUAAGGAAGCCUUCUGAGGUUCUGGUUAUAUUGUAUAUGUUGGGCACACUUAUAUUUUCACCUUGCAAUAACUCACUGAAUUGUACACUCAUGACUUUUCUAUGUGUAUGCUACACUUCAAUAACUUUUAAGUAUCUAAAAAAAAAAAAAAGAGAGAGAGAGAGAGAAUACCCUGACCCAUCUCUAGCCUCACCUCACUCCUGCCACUCUGCAUUCUCCUCCCCUGGUUUAUUUUUGUCUAUAACGUUCACCUCUAGUUAACAUCCAUUUCGUUUUCAUGAUUUAUUAUUUAGAGUCUCUCUCUCCUUUCUAGCAUGGAAGCUGCAUGAGGGCAUGGAUUUUUAUCUGUUUUGUUCACAGCUAUCUCUUCAGUACGUAGAACAGUCUCUGGAACAUAAGAGGCACCCAGUAAAUAUUUGUUAAAUGACCAAAUGCACUCAUCUAUUCCAUAU